UCUUAAAAGUUUCAUCUAUUUCUACGGUUACAAACUGAUGUGACUAGCAAAAUAACUAGACAAUUACACGUGGCAUGUCAAGUGUACCUUAUGCUAUCGUACAAUGAGCAGUUUUUAACAAUAAAGAUGGAUGAAAUUUUUAACA
rfam:Gossypium raimondii Chr08_contig_767, whole genome shotgun sequence.